rnacentral:rRNA from 2 species
GAUGAACGCUGGCGGCGUGCCUAAUACAUGCAAGUCGAACGGGUUCUGAUUAUUGAAAGGUGCUUGCAUCUUGAUUUAAUUUUGAACGAGUGGCGGACGGGUGAGUAACACGUGGGUAACCUGCCCUUAAGUGGGGGAUAACAUUUGGAAACAGAUGCUAAUACCGCAUAAAUCCAAAAACCGCAUGGUUCUUGGCUGAAAGAUGGCGUAAGCUAUCGCUUUUGGAUGGACCCGCGGCGUAUUAGCUAGUUGGUGAGGUAACGGCUCACCAAGGCAAUGAUACGUAGCCGAACUGAGAGGUUGAUCGGCCACAUUGGGACUGAGACACGGCCCAAACUCCUACGGGAGGCAGCAGUAGGGAAUCUUCCACAAUGGACGCAAGUCUGAUGGAGCAACGCCGCGUGAGUGAAGAAGGCUUUCGGGUCGUAAAACUCUGUUGUUGGAGAAGAAUGGUCGGCAGAGUAACUGUUGUCGGCGUGACGGUAUCCAACCAGAAAGCCACGGCUAACUACGUGCCAGCAGCCGCGGUAAUACGUAGGUGGCAAGCGUUAUCCGGAUUUAUUGGGCGUAAAGCGAGCGCAGGCGGUUUUUUAAGUCUGAUGUGAAAGCCCUCGGCUUAACCGAGGAAGUGCAUCGGAAACUGGGAAACUUGAGUGCAGAAGAGGACAGUGGAACUCCAUGUGUAGCGGUGAAAUGCGUAGAUAUAUGGAAGAACACCAGUGGCGAAGGCGGCUGUCUGGUCUGUAACUGACGCUGAGGCUCGAAAGCAUGGGUAGCGAACAGGAUUAGAUACCCUGGUAGUCCAUGCCGUAAACGAUGAAUGCUAGGUGUUGGAGGGUUUCCGCCCUUCAGUGCCGCAGCUAACGCAUUAAGCAUUCCGCCUGGGGAGUACGACCGCAAGGUUGAAACUCAAAGGAAUUGACGGGGGCCCGCACAAGCGGUGGAGCAUGUGGUUUAAUUCGAAGCAACGCGAAGAACCUUACCAGGUCUUGACAUCUUUUGAUCACCUGAGAGAUCGGGUUUCCCCUUCGGGGGCAAAAUGACAGGUGGUGCAUGGUUGUCGUCAGCUCGUGUCGUGAGAUGUUGGGUUAAGUCCCGCAACGAGCGCAACCCUUAUGACUAGUUGCCAGCAUUUAGUUGGGCACUCUAGUAAGACUGCCGGUGACAAACCGGAGGAAGGUGGGGAUGACGUCAAAUCAUCAUGCCCCUUAUGACCUGGGCUACACACGUGCUACAAUGGAUGGUACAACGAGUUGCGAGACCGCGAGGUCAAGCUAAUCUCUUAAAGCCAUUCUCAGUUCGGACUGUAGGCUGCAACUCGCCUACACGAAGUCGGAAUCGCUAGUAAUCGCGGAUCAGCACGCCGCGGUGAAUACGUUCCCGGGCCUUGUACACACCGCCCGUCACACCAUGAGAGUUUGUAACACCCGAAGCCGGUGGCGUAACCCUUUUAGGGAGCGAGCCGUCUAAGGUGGGACAAAUGAUUAGGGUG